rnacentral:tRNA from 1 species
GAAUUAGUAACUUAAUUGGUAGAGGGCUACCUUGUCACGGUAGCAGAUGCUGGUUCGAUCCCGGUCUAAUUCG